CAAAGGGAUCCUUGAGUAAUGGCGAAAGAGGAUCCCAGCGAAUCGCGUUCUUUGAGGACAUGUGGCGUAUGGAAGCGUCUAUGGUGCGUCGUGGAGCGCGGCAGUCCUCUGGAACGAGGCUACCGAAGAGGGUGAUAGUCCCGUCGCGCGCUCCGCUUUCGUAUCAGUUGGCGCUUCUCGAGAGUCUGGUUGCUUGGAAGUGCAACCUAAAGCGGGUGGUAUACUCCAUCUAAGGCUAAAUAUGACCGAGAGUCCGAUAGCGAACAAGUACCGUGAGGGAAAGUUGAAAAGCACUCUGAAGAGAGAGUUCAAUAGUACGUGAAACCGCUUGGGGGUAAGCGGGUGGGACCUCGAAGUCCGAAUCCGGCUCGGGCGAAUUUCGGGUGUCGCGACCGUUUGGAUGGCUUUAGGAAGAUGAACUGCGGUUGAGAUUGGCCGAUCGCCGGGAUUUCUGCGACUAGUAGGUCGGAACCCACCCGUCCCGUCUUGAAACACGGACCAAGGAGUCUAACGCGUAUGCGAGUUCCCGAGUGUCGUAUAACCUCGAGGGCGAAUGAAAAGUAAUGUUGGUCGGGAUCCU
rnacentral:rRNA from 1 species